CAAUCUGGAACGCUGAAUUCCUUCCGUGGCAUUUACCGCGGAGGGAAGCGGGGGACCCACUUUUUUGGGGUGAAUCCCCUUCUUAUAUGGGGGACGUUCCUGUAUUAAGAAGGGGUAGGGUUACCUCUUCAACCCGAACCCGUCAGCUAACCUCGUAAGCGUGGAAAGAGGAGGU
rnacentral:sRNA from 1 species